UUAAAUAUACCGCUGAUUUAUCAAACCGAAGUCAAGUUUUAUUUUACAACAAUGCAAUUAAGGUAUACAACCAUGUUUAAUUGACACAAUUUUACAACUUCCAUAUUGAUGUAUGUAUCGUUAAGCCACUGGUGUGUUCAGAAAUGUUUAGGGUGACCCAGUUAUCAGAAAUAAAGGCUAAAUAGCUUGAUUAUGUAUGAUCAUGUCUCUGACAGUAUACGUAUAUGCCUCGCUACGACAACGCUUUAGCGUGUAUGCGUUUCUCACAGAGGACGUAUUGGUUAUCUCUCAAAGGCGAAAUAAAGAAAAUGUUUUUUCUAAAUACAGUCAUGGAGUGCCUGGAUGUUUCCUUUGAGGAAGAGAUCGUAACAACGACACAACAUGAUCCGAAGCGCACAGUCGACAUGGUUAUUGUUUACUGCGUACAUGAAUGCCGGUAAAUUUACCUCUUGGUACAAUGCGGUUAAUGUCCGGUCUCACUAUGAUGCCGGCGGAGCCCCGGUGCGUUAUCAGGCAACUACCGGGACCCUACCGGGAUGAACCGGUGCUCCACCGGGAUGAACCGUGGACAACCGGGGCUCCACCGAAUCAGAGUACAGUAUAGUUUCUUCAAGCUGUCCGGAUAUUGUGUCUACAUUGUCCGAAGGUACCACUGGCUCGAGAAAUAUCUGACAAUGGGCAGAUUUUGUUGGUGUGUUAAUUCGUGAUAUCUUUCGCACAGGACUUUCUGUCACUGUAGAUUUUGUCGGAAUUAAAAAUUUGCCAUAAA